rnacentral:ncRNA from 1 species
GGCUCUGGAGAAUCUCAUUAGGUUGAGUGCCGAAGGUGCAAGGCGGUUUUCCCGCCGAAUCUCUCAGGCAAAAGGACAGAGCGG